GUAAGUGUGCUAAUACCACAUUUAUUUGACGAAGGCUCCAAAGGAAGCCACGGCUAACUCUGUGCCAGCAGCCGCGGUAAUACAGAGGUGGCAAGCGUUGUUCGGAAUUAUUGGGCGUAAAGAGCACGUAGGUGGGUUUGUAAGUCAGAUGUGAAAGCCUUCUGUUCAACGGAAGAAUUGCAUCUGAAACUGCGAGUCUUGAGUGUAGGAGGGGAGAAUGGAACUUCUGGUGGAGCGGUGAAAUGCGUAGAUAUCAGAAGGAACGCCGGCGGCGAAAGCGAUUCUCUGGCCUAUUACUGACGCUCAGUGUGCGAAAGCUAGGGGAGCAAACGGGAUUAGAUACCCCGGUAGUCCUAGCCGUAAACGAUGGGCACUAAGUAGAGGGAAUUACCGAUGUUCUCUCUGCCGUAGCUAACGCAUUAAGUGCCCCGCCUGGGGAGUACGGCCGCAAGGCUAAAACUCAAAAGAAUUGACGGGGGCUCGCACAAGCGGUGGAGCAUGUGGCUUAAUUCGAUGCAACGCGAAGAACCUUACCGGGGCUUGACAUGGUAGAAGUAGGAACCCGAAAGGGUAACGAACGGUAUCCAGUCCGUAACUAUCACAGGUGUUGCAUGGCUGUCGUCAGCUCGUGUCGUGAGACGUUGGGUUAAGUCCCCUAACGAGCGAAACCCUUGUUUUUAGUUACCAGCGGGUUGUGCCGGGUACUCUAGAAAGACUGCCGUCGUCAAGACGGAGGAAGGUGGGGAUGACGUCAAGUCAUCAUGGCCCUUAUGCCCCGGGCUGCACACGUGCUACAAUGGUCGGUACAAACGGAAGCGAAGCCGAGAGGUGAAGCGAAUCCUAAAAAGCCGAUCUCAGUUCGGAUUGGAGGCUGAAAUUCGCCUCA
rnacentral:rRNA from 1 species